ACGGAUCCAUUUUUCCAUGGGAAGGGUCGGAAGUUUGGACAAGGAGUGGGGGAAUCUCCAGGACCUCCCCAAAACCCCAACCCGAGGUGAGGGGGAAGAAUUUUUACGAUUCUCACUUCGACUUCCUGGGGUUAUUUUUGGUUGUUUUCGGCCGAGUGAGAAACUGAAAUUUCGUGCGGUUCGAAAUGAGGAUGAGGAGAAAAAAAAAAAAGAAAUUAUUCACGUAAAAAUCAUUUUUUAGAAAUAAUUUUAAAAAAAUAAAUCCUGAGAGAAUUUUUUGGGAAAAAAAAAGGGUUUUCCACAUGAAAAAGGAGCCGGUUUGGAGCCUCCCCCAUCCCUGGAGGUGUCCGAGGAACCCACUGGGUGUUGGUCUGGGUGGCCAGGAUUGGUCCCAGGCUGGAAUUGAUGGUCCUGGAGGGCUUUUCCGACUUUGGGAAUUCCAGAAUUCCGUGAAAAAAAAUUUUUUAAGAGUCUCCUGAAGCCUGGCUGGGAGUCCCUGGAGCGUUUGUGGGGUUUUGGUUCAGGAGGAUGGGUGGGAAAAGGAGCCUGAAUCCCAAGGAGCUGCCAAAAUCGAGGAGAACGAUCCCAAAAGGUUCCAAAUCCUCCCUGAAAUCCCAGACUGAGGCUGCUGGGAGGGAAACUGAGGCAGGAGGAAAUCCUGGGAGGGUGAGAUCCAUGAGAUUCAGGGAUUGGGGAUGUUGGAGAUGUUCCAGAGCCGUUCCAGAGUCACCUUGUGGGGUCCAUCCCUGUGACUGAGGAGUGGAGACCCUUUAAACCAGUUCCAGAUCUUUCUAAACCAGUUCCAGAUCCCUUAAACCAGUUCUGGAUCCUUCUAAACCAGUUCCAGAUCCUCCUAAACCAGUUCCAGACCCCUUAAAUCAGUUCCAGGUUCUUCUAAACCAUCUCCAGACUCUUUAAACCAGUUCCAGAUCCCUUAAACCAGUUCUGGAUCCUUCUAAACCAGUUCCAGAUCCUUCUAAACCAUCUCCAGACUCUUUAAACCAGUUCUGGAUCCUUCUAAACCAGUUCCAGAUCCUUCUAAACCAUCUCCAGACUCUUUAAACCAGUUCCAGAUCCUUCUAAACCAGUUCCAGAUCCUUCUAAACCAGUUCCAGAUCCUCCUAAACCAUUCCAGAUCCUUCUAAACCAUCUCCAGACUCUUUAAACCAGUUCCAGAUCCCUUAAAUAAUUUCCAGGUUCUUCUAAAGCAGCUCCAGGUCAUUUAAAUCAGCUCCAGGUUCCUUUAAAUCAGUUCUGGAUCAUUCUAAACCAGCUCUGGGUCCUUUAAACCAGCUCCAGAUCCUUUAAAUCAUUCCCAGGUUCCUUUAAAUCAGUUCCAGGUUCCUUUAAACCAGCUCCAGGUCCUUUAAACCAGCUCCAGGUUCCUUUAAACCAGCUCCAGGUCCUUUAAAUCAGUCCCAGGUUCCUUUAAAUCAGUCCCAGGUUCCUUUAAACCAGCUCCAGGUCCUUUAAACCAGCUCCAGGUCCUUUAAACCAGCUCCAGGUCCUUUAAAUCAGUCCCAGGUCCUUUAAACCAUCUCCAGGUCCUUUAAACCAUCUCCAGGUCCCUCUAGACCAGCUCCAGCCCGGUCACGAUGACAUUUUCCACUGUCCCCUCACCUGC